rnacentral:sRNA from 1 species
GCAACUGAGACAUGCAGUACUAAAACCCUUUUUGACUGUGCAACCUUUAUCGGCAUUUCAUAAUUUCUGCUUAAUGCACUUCAGUGUGGAUAUGAAAUGACAAAAGUUCUGUUUCUUCUCUUUAUUAUUUAUCCUUGGUUCCUAUUCUUUGGAUCUCAUCUGAGGUUGCCUGGCCUGCACAUGUGGUCGGGAGAGGAUGUGAUAGAUCAGUACUUGAUACUGAGUUGCAUGGUGUCCAAGCCAGUGACUACAAGUAUCAGGGUGGCUGUGGGUAACCAUGGAUACAUGUAUGUAUACUGCACAGAUUACCAGAUAAUGCACGGUCUACAAUUUGGUGUUAUAUUAUUUGAUAUCUCCAUUUCUCUGCUGAUUCCAUCUAUAAAUUGUAGCUAACUGAAUCCAUAUGUCUAUGUACAUGAAUCCUAAGAAAUAGUUGCAGUGGUUAUUUACUUCCCAUUGCUAUGUAUGCACCCAAAUUAUUUUGCAAAUAUCUGGUAUCUGUGGUAAAUACCUUGGUGAAAUGGGAAGGUACUGGUCUAUCUUCAGCAGCUUUUCAAGAGCAUUCCUUUAUAUUUUUAUUACUUUUGUUUAUUCUCUAUUGCUUAUGGAAAUGUGUUCUGUCUACAGAAACAGAAGAAUAUUGCAGGGGCACUUGCCUUCUGGAUGGCAAAUGCAUCUGAACUUCUCAACUUCAUUAAGCAAGACCGAGACCUUAGUCGGAUCACAUUGGAUGCUCAAGAUGUUUUAGCACAUUUGGUUCAAAUGGCAUUUAAAUACUUGGUUCACUGUCUUCAAUCAGAACUUAAUAAUUACAUGCCAGCCUUUCUAGAUGACCCUGAAGAGAACAGUCUGCAAAGACCAAAAAUAGAUGAUGUGCUGCACACGCUCACAGGAGCCAUGUCCUUGCUACGACGCUGCAGAGUCAAUGCCGCCCUGACCAUCCAGCUCUUCUCUCAGCUCUUCCACUUUAUCAAUAUGUGGCUGUUCAAUAGAUUGGUGACUGACCCAGAUUCAGGGCUGUGCUCCCAUUACUGGGGUGCAAUUAUCCGUCAGCAGCUGGGCCAUAUUGAAGCCUGGGCUGAGAAGCAGGGGCUGGAACUGGCUGCGGACUGUCACCUGAGCAGGAUCGUGCAGGCAACGACUUUGCUUACCAUGGAUAAGUAUGCACCUGAUGACAUUCCAAAUAUAAACAGCACCUGCUUUAAGUUAAAUUCACUACAACUUCAAGCCUUAUUACAGAACUAUCACUGUGCACCUGAUGAGCCUUUUAUCCCAACGGAUCUUAUAGAAAAUGUAGUGGCUGUGGCUGAAAACACUGCUGAUGAGCUGGCCCGCAGCGAUGGAAGGGAAGUGCAGUUGGAGGAGGAUCCUGAUCUGCAGCUGCCAUUUCUUUUGCCAGAAGAUGGUUAUUCUUGUGAUGUUGUCAGAAACAUUCCAAAUGGUUUACAAGAAUUUUUAGACCCUCUGUGCCAGAGAGGAUUUUGCAGGUUAAUUCCUCACACACGUUCACCAGGUACUUGGACAAUAUAUUUUGAAGGUGCAGAUUAUGAAAGUCACCUUCUGCGUGAGAACACAGAGCUGGCUCAGCCUCUGAGGAAAGAACCUGAAAUAAUCACUGUGACCCUAAAAAAGCAGAAUGGAAUGGGCCUUAGCAUUGUUGCAGCAAAGGGUGCUGGUCAAGAUAAACUAGGAAUCUAUGUGAAGUCGGUUGUGAAAGGAGGUGCUGCAGAUGUGGAUGGACGUCUAGCUGCAGGUGAUCAGCUCCUCAGUGUGGAUGGACGAAGUCUGGUUGGACUCUCUCAGGAAAGGGCAGCAGAACUCAUGACAAGAACAAGCUCUGUGGUGACGCUGGAAGUAGCAAAGCAGGGUGCCAUCUACCACGGUCUGGCCACCCUUCUCAAUCAGCCAUCCCCUAUGAUGCAGAGAAUUUCAGAUCGUCGUGGCUCAGGUAAACCCCGACCAAAGAGUGAAGGCUUUGAGCUCUAUAAUAAUUCAACUCAAAAUGGGUCUCCUGAGAGUCCUCAGCUGCCUUGGGCAGAAUAUAGUGAACCAAAGAAAUUGCCUGGUGAUGACAGACUGAUGAAAAAUAGAGCUGAUCACCGUUCCAGCCCCAACGUAGCAAAUCAGCCUCCUAGUCCUGGAGGGAAAAGUGCAUAUGCCCCUGGAACAACAGCGAAGAUAACAUCUGUCUCUACUGGAAACCUCUGCACUGAGGAACAGACUCCUCCGCCUAGACCUGAAGCCUACCCCAUCCCCACUCAGACGUACACCAGAGAGUAUUUUACCUUCCCAGCUUCCAAAUCCCAGGAUCGGAUGGCUCCUCCUCAGAACCAGUGGCCAAAUUAUGAGGAAAAGCCACAUGUGCACACAGACAGUAAUCAUUCCAGUAUUGCAAUUCAGCGUGUUACACGUUCCCAAGAAGAACUUCGAGAAGAUAAAGCUUACCAACUUGAGCGGCAUCGAAUAGAGGCAGCUAUGGACCGAAAGUCUGAUAGUGAUAUGUGGAUAAAUCAGAGCUCCUCAUUGGACUCCAGUACCUCUAGCCAAGAGCAUCUGAACCAUUCCUCUAAGUCGGUCACCCCUGCUUCCACACUGACCAAAAGUGGCCCUGGCCGUUGGAAAACACCAGCAGCCAUACCGGCCACCCCUGUGGCCGUCUCCCAGCCAAUCCGAACAGACCUGCCUCCGCCACCCCCGCCACCUCCCGCCCACUAUGCCGGUGAUUUCGAUGGAAUGUCCAUGGAUUUGCCUCUCCCGCCACCCCCUUCUGCCAACCAGAUAGGGCUGCCGUCUGCGCAGGUGGCUGCUGCCGAACGGAAAAAGAGAGAAGAACAUCAGCGUUGGUAUGAGAAGGAGAAGGCCCGCCUGGAGGAGGAGCGGGAGAGGAAGCGGAGAGAGCAGGAGAGGAAGUUGGGCCAGAUGCGCACUCAGUCCUUAAACCCUGCUCCGUUUUCUCCCUUGACCGCACAGCAGAUGAAGCCCGAAAAGCCUUCCACACUCCAGCGGCCCCAGGAAACAGUCAUUCGGGAGCUGCAGCCUCAGCAGCAGCCCCGCACGAUCGAGCGCAGAGACUUGCAGUACAUCACAGUCAGCAAAGAGGAGCUUUCUUCAGGGGACAGUCUGUCCCCCGACCCGUGGAAGCGGGACGCCAAGGAGAAGCUGGAGAAGCAGCAGCAGAUGCACAUCGUGGACAUGCUGAGCAAGGAGAUCCAGGAGCUCCAGAGCAAACCGGACCGCAGCGCCGAGGAGAGCGACCGGCUGCGCAAGCUCAUGCUGGAGUGGCAGUUCCAGAAGAGACUCCAGGAGUCGAAGCAGAAGGACGAAGAUGACGAGGAGGAGGAGGACGACGAUGUGGACACCAUGCUGAUCAUGCAGCGCCUGGAGGCUGAACGAAGAGCAAGGUUGCAGGACGAGGAGCGGAGGCGGCAGCAGCAGUUAGAAGAGAUGCGCAAGCGGGAAGCGGAAGACCGAGCGAGGCAAGAGGAAGAGCGCCGGCGGCAGGAGGAGGAGCGAACAAAACGAGACGCUGAAGAAAAGGUUAUGGUCCUCUAAGGGCAGCUAGAAUUUUACCAAGUUAGCCUGAACGUAAUCGAUUGGCUGGGGCAGAGCGGGCUGAAAGUUCUGUGUGUCUUAAGCACAAGGCAGAGCAGGGCCUGGCUCCCCCAGCUUUGUGAUUGGACCAGCAACUUUACCCCAUCUGGCCCACCUACCUCUCUUCUGGACUGUCUCCAGAUCCCCUUAUCUGCCAAGUUUUGUCUCCCUCAAACUUCUGAACUCUUGGGUGUGUGUAGCAGUGAGCCUCUUUGCAAAGGGUUCGUUUCCUCGGGCACUCAUCUUUACUGGACGUGGCCCAGCUUGUCAUUGUGAAGGUGACAUUUGUUCAGUGAUUGCUUAAAUGGCAUAUGGACGGUGGGAAGCAGUAGGAGCGUAGUAAGACAGUUGGCUGCCAUUCAGCAUUUCAAAUAGAUGGUUCAUUCAAACCACUCACUUCUGGUUGAUGGUAAAGAGAGCAGAUGGCUUAGAAAACAUGAUACAGGAAAAUUUAGUAUGUAAUCCAGUAAAUAUCCUAAGUUAUUUAUUUUCAUGUGUGUGUGUGUUUUUAAGUCAAGUAACCCUUUUAAUUGAAAUUUUAAAAUGACAGCGAAUUUUGACAUUCUGAGAAAUGGGGAUUUUGAGAUGUUUCUCUCCAUAUCUCCCUUUGUGCUGUGUGUGUGGCCGACGCCCUCUGGAUGAAGAGGCUGUAGCCAUUGAGCUCCCUGUGGGGGCCUGUUUCAUCCUGAGGGGACUGCGUGUUGCUCUGUGUGGUUUGAGAGAAGCUGCUCUUCUCUGUUACUUCCCUUCUAUGAAGGUAGAAGCUUUCAGUGUUACAACUUCUGAUAGCGGAAAAUUUAGUUUUUAUUGAUAAUUUCUUCUUUGAUAGUCUAGUGAACUAUAUUAAUAGAACAGUGUACUGUUCACAGAAAAGAACUUGUAGAGAGUUUUUUGUAAUGAUAUGAUCUAUUAGGAUACAGAACAAUCUAAGAGUAAGCUUGAUAGAGACAUGAUGUGACUUCACUUAAAUGGAGUAGAGUGAAUAAUGUAAGGACACUCACCUCUGUUGAAAUUGGUGAUUUCUGCAUUUUGUAGACCUUUGCCCUCUAAGUUUAUCAUCAUAUUAUCUGUUGAAUCUGAAUGGCAUUUGAAGUCCUCUCAAAGAGUUUGAGCUUUCAGAAUUAGGUUCCCCUGUGAGUCUUUCACUUGUGUAAUGGUAAGUCAACAUUGAUGAUCUUUCUAAGGAAAUCAGAUUUCCAAAAUGCUGAGCCGCUUGAUGUCUAAGUGUUGAUGGUGUUUGCUGUUGCUUUGCUGUUCCAUGAAAGCGCUCCCUGGCUGCUCGGAGGGCUGUGCUUUUCCAGGUCAGUGCCAGCUUGGCUGUCCCAGGCCCUGCACAGUGCCCAUUGCUAUAGCGGGGCCCAGUCCUGGCCACGCCGGAGCCUCGGCGGGGGCAGCACAUGCAGAGAGGACCAGGCCAUGUUUUUCCUAUGCUGAGAAACUCGGGUUAUUUAAUUUUUCCAAUGUGUUUUCAUAACUCAUGAUUAUGUCAAAUACACUUGUGUUAGUAACUGCUUCUAUAAUUAAGUGGUCACUGUAAAAAGGCGAAUAACCUAUUUUUAUAUCAGAAUGUCCAAAACUCAUGGGUUUGCUUUGUUAUAGAAAAAUGUGCCAUUCAUUUGUUGGGUUAGAAUAAAGUCGUCUUGUAAUUGUAUCUGCUCUUGGUAUAACUAAAAGAGGAUGUUUUGAUUUCUCCCUAAAAUGUUACCAAGCAACUGUUCUUCAUGUUAAUACUAAGAUUCUUGAUAGUUCCAUUUAAAAGCCACAAGAAGUCAUUCUGGUUUAUUCCUCACUCCAAGGGAACACUUACUUUGUGUAGACAAGAAGAUGAGAGUCUUUCCUUCAGGAUUUCUAAACAUAGAGCAAGAAGAUUCAAUGAGAAAUUGGGCUCAGGGCAGUAAUUGGGGCUGGCAUUUAUUCUUAAGAGUUUUCUCCCUCAAAUGUGAAGGAGUGACAUUGCGUAUUUACUCUGUGUGUGUGUGUGUGUGUGUGUGUGUGUGUGUGUGUGUGUGUGUAGCUCUAGAGGGAGUAGGGAGAAAAUACAGGAUGAAAUUGAAAAUAGGGACUAACAGCUUUUCACUGAAUGCCAGCAAGGUCUCUAAAAUUAGUUUUCUUUGGUUGAACGAAUUUACGAUUCAUUGUACUUCAUUUCACAGCAUUAAACAUUUACUCGAGGCAGUUUAUUCUGUUUGCUCUUUCAUCCCCCUUCUUAUUUACUUUUUUCUUGUGCUCUAAAACUUUUGUCAAUCUUUAACAAAACUGUGCUGUUACCUUUUUUAAUGUUAAAAGAAUUUUAACACUGUCAACUGUAGUUUGUGCAGAUGUAUGUCAGAAAAAAAUGUACAGUAUGUGUCAAAAUAUAUUUGAAUAUCUUGUU